UCUUUUUUUUCUCACUCGCGCUGCAACCAUUUCUUGUUUGGAAAAAGGGUCGAGCCACUCAACAUCCUUCUCAAUCCCACCACCAAACCUAUUCUUCUUUCUCUUUCACUUCAACCCUUCCUAAAUCAGUGUUCUGGUCGUGGUUCUCUCUCGUCGAGCCCUCCUUCCCCUUCAAUGGAGCCUCGGUUCUCUUUCCUUGAGCUUUCGUAGGUCGCGCAUUGAAACCCUAAUUUUCCCUCAUUCGAACUAUCAUUGUGCAGCCUUGGUACCGUGGUUAAUUGAUACUUUUCGUGCUUGCGAUUUGAUUUCCGCAAUGGCCUCCAAAGCUCCUAGAUCGAAGAUUGAUCACGAGAGUAGAGCGAAACUGCAAAAGGUUUCAUUUAAUUUGCUUGAGAAGUACUUGGAAGCACACUCAAAGGCCUCCAUGUGGGAAAAUGAGCUCCUGGAUGUAGGCUACCAGCCUCUGUGCAUCCAAAUUCUCUACACAGUGUUUCAGGGGAAUACUUGAACUUCUACAAACAGAUCAAAGUUUCAUGUUAGCACUACAACCUGUACCAAUCAUAUGUUGCAAUACAACUAGGGAUGCCAUAACUCUGCUGAACAGAAAAUGAACAUUUAGUUGGUUUCAAGCAGGAGGACCAUCUUAUGCAGUAGAGUUGGGAAGGCCAGAUAGGAAAGUUUCAACAAAAUUAUGUGUUAGAUACCAUAUACCUCAUCUUGAUUUCUAAGACCAUAUUCUCUUAGUUUGUCAACUUUAUGUAUGACCAUCCAAUUGGCAUAUAGUGGUUCUGACCCACCUCCUCCACUCUCAGCACAAUCUAAUAAGGAGAAGGGAAACAGCACAAUCUAAUAAGGAGAAGGGAAAAAGCAAUAUGUGGUGAAGUUGUUAUCAUGGUGAUGGAGUGCAACAAGAUCAACGCCCAGAUGAAGAAAAUCCUUAGUGAUUGAUUAUUAGGAAACUCUAGACCUGUCAUUCUAUGUUGUUUGACAUCUUAUGAAUUGUAAAAUUUAUUGAUUGCAUAUUAGGAAACUUUACACUUGUCAUUCUAUGUUGUUUGACAUCUUAUGAAUUGUAAAAUUUAUAUUGUUUUGCA